AGCUCCUGUUCUGGCCAACCCAGGGGUCCACCCCAAUCAAGCAAUGGUACUGUAGUUGGCUGGGUGGGAGGUUGAGUCCCCUCAGGUCCCCUGAGAAGCAGAUGCUAAGACAAUGCUAGACAACUCAGAGAUUAAACAGGGGAAGUUCCCAUGAAGGAUAGUUGGGAGAGAGAGCAGGAGGAGGUGGGGUGAGCCUUCAGACCACCUGCAGGUCUGACUCUGUGGAAGGAGAGAGGGAAGGAACAACAAGGUGGGAAGGACUUCAGACAGCAGUGCAGAUUUCAGCCCUUCUUGGCCAAGCCAUGGGGCAUCUCUGAGCAAAGGUUGCCUGUUGGAGGAGCCCCACAUCCGCAGAAAUCGCCCCAGGCUAGUGCCUCUGCCCAGUUCAGGCACUGGCUAGGAGUAGCCCAAAGAGAGUGGCAUCAGCAUCAACAUCACCAUGGACCUGAAGCAGCAGAGCUGCACUGACUGUGGUCAGGGACCCUGGGAGUGGGUUCUCUGGAAUUCCGGGGAGGUCUCAGCAGCACCCCUGCAUAGCUGCCAAGGAGCCAUCCCAGUGCUGCCAUUGAUGUUGGGAUCUGUGUCACAGGCAGCAGUGGAGAUGUUCUCAGUUUCCACCCCAGCAGCACCAUCUGUGGAGUGCUGCCUUUCUACCAUCCGCAGCAGGGAUGGGUGGGUGCCUUCGCCUCCUAGGGGACUGGAAUGGGGCAGUCCCAGCCUCCUCCAGAAGGAAGUAGCAUUGAGUGGGCAAAGGUCAUGGGUCAAGCAAAUAGCAUCUGUGAAUGGAGUGAAAGGACCCCAAACCAUUGUGAGUCAACAGCAGCACGGUGGCUGAGAGGUGGGGCUGAAUUGAACCGUGGAGUAAAUGAGACAAUACAGGAGAUGAAGCGCCAUGUUUCAUGCAAAAGCUAUGGAGAGAGCCACUCCCAGAGGCCCUGCUGACACCUCUGAAUGUCCCGCUGACAUGUUUAAAUGUCACCAAGAUACAGCCUCACAAACAUCCAUGAAUAAACAAACCAAGUUCCUUGGAAACCUCUGAAAAAAUAAUUAACACCAGAAGAGGUUUGAGGGAGAAGAUCUGGGUGCAAGAAUUUCGUAUCCAACCAGGCGUUCUUCUGGUUGGAAGAACCAGACUUGCAGAAAGCAAGUCUCAGGUGGAUGUGGCCUGUAGAAAAACAACCGCCCCAAAACUUUAGACCUCCAAGAGAUCAUCACUAAGAAGAGUGCAAGGAUGAAAACAUCAAGGUAGAAAAGCUUGGAACUGAGCAUUGAAUUGAAAGCAGGAAACUAUGGAAAGAGACUUAAGUUAUGAUGAAUAUAGUUACACAUUUAAAAUCAAAAGAAAAAAAAAAACAGAAGAGAUUAUCUGGCUGGACUAGUGGCUCACACCUGUAAUCCCAGCACUUUGGGAGGCCAAGGUUGAAGGAGCACUCGAGCCCAGGAGUUUGAGACCAGCCUGGGCAACAUAGUGAAACUUCAUCUCUCCAAAAAAGAAAAAAAAAUUUUUUUUAGAUUAGUAGAGUGUGGUGGCUCGUGCCUGUAGUCCCCAACUAUUUGGCAGGCUGUGUGGGAGGAUCACUUGAGCCCAGGAGUUUGAGACCCGCCUAGGCAACAUAGUGAAACCCCAUCUCUACCAAAAAAAAAACUUAAUUAGUAGGGCAUGGUGGCUCGUGCCUGUGGUCCCCAACUAUUUGGGCGGCUAUGUGGGAGGAUCGCUUGAGCCCAGGAGUUUGAGGCUGCAGUGAGCCAUGAUCGUGCCACUGCACUCCAGCCUGUGUAACAGAGUGAGACCCUCUCUCUAAGAAAAAAAAAAAAGAGAUAAUCUGUGUCCCUAGAAAGAGACAAGUUUUAAUAUUGCGGAUAAAUUAAUAAAGCAGGAAGAAUGUUCUUGUGUUGUAGGGGGUGGGGACAAUGGAGGGUAAUAGUAAGUGCCUGGGGUGAAGCAAAAGGCUCUAUUGCUAAUAUUUCUAUUCUGUUUUUUUUUUACUUCAAUAAUUACAGAAAUAUGUGUCAGAUUCUUGAAAACCUUAAAAGCAACCACUAUUAAAAAUAUGAUGUCUACCUUCAAAAUUACUACAGAAGAUGAAAAGAAACAAAACCAACUACAUAGCAAAGGAGUGAAUAUAAUAGGAAAAGAAACAGCAUAGAAAUUACAACAAUAAGUGUGAAAAAAUUCAACUUUUAUUAAUAUUCUCAAUUCAAAAAUAAAAUAUAACUGUUUGCUCUUAUGAAGGGUGCACUUAAAUGACACAGAAAUGUUCCACAUAAAAGUUCUGUGGCGAUAGAACAGACAAAUAUAAACAAAAGAAAGACAGGGAGGCAAUAUUCAUAACUAGCCUUGUAGAAUUGCAGAACAAAAUUGCUCAUCAGGAUUAAGAAGCUUAUUUUUAUAGAAUAAAAUAAAAACUCAAUUGCGAGGGCAAAUGUAGUAAUCUUAUACACCGAAUGGUGGAAAAGUACAUCAGGUACAAUUCUUAGAAUUCAAGGAGCCAUUGGCAAAAACAAACUGCAGUGUCAGACUUUCAUGUACUGUAGAUUAGAACAAAACAAAUAGGCAAAAUAUAAAUUAGGACAUAGAAUUAUAUAAAUAAUAUGAUUAAUACAGUUUAAUUAAUAGCCCUUGGGCUUGGUUUUAAACAAAUAGGUAACCCAUUUUUUUUCUCAAGCAGCCAAAAAACACUUGCCAAAAAUGAAUUAUCUACCUUACAAGAACAAAACCAUCCAUUAAAAAAAUUCAGAAAUUAUUUUGGCUAUACUCUCUGACCUCAUACACAAAGACCUAGAAAAUAAAAAUACAGCCUGGCCGGGUGCAGUGGCUUAUGCCUGUAAUCCCAGCACUUUGGGAGGCAAAGGAGGGAGGAUCGUUUGAGCCCAGGAGUUUGAGAUCAACCUCACAACAUAGUGAAACUUCUGUCUCUACAAUUUUUUUUUUUUAAUUAGCUGGAUGUGGUGGCUUGUGCCUAUAGUUCCAGCUACUCAGAGGCAGAGGUUAAGGCAAGAGGAUGGCUUGAGUCCAGGAGGUCGAGGCUGCAGUGACCUGUGAUCAUGCUACUACCCUUUAGCCUGGGCAACAAAGUAAGACCCUGUUUAUAUAAAUUCUGUCUCAAAAUAAUAACAAAAAUAAUAAUGACUAUUUAAAAAUAAAGUGAGAACUACAAAACUAAAUACAUGUGAAGAAUAGCAAGAACUUUUUGGAUUGGUUGUUUUAAAAAAAAAAAAAUUCACAGGAUACAGCCAAAACUAUUCUCAGAGAUAAACACAUUGCCCUAACUGCUUUAAUUUUCUUUAAGGACAUUAAAUAAAUGAAUUAAGCACUUAACUUGAGCAUUUAGGGAAAAAAUGUCUUAGGGAAAUCAGGAAAAAAGUAUAAAGAUAAAAGUGGAAAUAAAGGAAUUAGAAAAGAGAAAAUAUCAGAAUCAACACAUUUAAUAGGUGGUUCCUUCAGAACAGAAGCAAUAAACGAAGCAAUACCUAUAUCUCUAACAACUAUGAUCAAGAAGAAAGGGCUCAAAUGGUCAUAACUAGAAAUAAGAAAGAAGACAUUAAGCUGAGUUAGAGAGGAGAGCAAAAAUAGCAAGAAACUGCAUUGUUACGUGUGUGUUGAUCUGUUGAAAAACCUUGAUGUAGUUGUUGAUUUGGGGGCAAAAAAUAAUUUACCACAAUCUAUACAAGGUUUGACACAAGAAGAAAUAGAAUUAUUGACUAGACCAAUAACCAUAAAAGAAACAGAAUAUUAUCAAAGAAUUACUCUUAAAAUAGGCUCUAGCUUAUUUCAAAUUUUCAAGCAACAGAUAAUCCCCGUGCCCUAUAAAGUAUUUCAGAACAUAGUAUUAAUGAAUUUCUAUUAAACUAACUUAUCCAAAUAGCGAAACUCAGCACAAAAGAGACAGACUUGCUCAAAUACAAUUAUGAAUAUAUAUGCAAACAUCCUAAUUAAAAUAUUACCAGGUGGAAUUCAGUACAUUAACAUUAUAAAUCAUCAUGAUGAAUCAGAUUCACUAUAGAAAUGUAAGAUAGUUUCAGUGUUAGGAAAUCAAUUAAUGUUUUGUAUCACAUCAUUAGAGCAAAAAUAAAAAGUCAUCCAAUUGUAUAAAUAGUUUUUUGAGUUAUUUAACUAAUGGAACAGGAAAGUACUUCUUACAAAGAGUAAAUUGCUCACACCAAUGACAACUUUGUAUUUAAUGGUAAAAUAGUAGGGACAUUCUUGUUGAAAUCAGACAUUUACUAACCCAAAAAUCUCAGACUAUGCACUAACACAUUUAACAGAAGCAAGAAUAAAUGAGGCAUUCCACAAAAAUCAAUAAUACAAAGGGAAGGCUUAGUUAAGAAAUUAUGUUAAGAAUUAUGUUAAGACUGUCAGUUAACAAUUUGGGAGUAAAAACCAACUUAGAGUCUCAUCUUACACGGUAUCUCAAAAGAAAUUCCAAAUUCAUCAAGGAAUUACAUUUCAAAACAAUCAAAUCAUAGAAAAACUAGAUGAAAAUUUAAUAAACAACUUAUAAAAUCACUAAAGGGAAAAGCUCUUUGUCAACUUAGCAUAACUGAAAAUCAAAGAAACAGAAAAUAAACAGGACAGGUUUGACUGCACAAAAAAAAUUCUUUUUGCUAAAAAGUCUUAACAUCAAAUAAUGUACUCGAAGAAACAAAACACAAUCAAUGUUAGACAAAUGACGUUCUUUCUCUGAGAAGAGAAUAUUAAAAUGAAUAACAUCAAGAACAACAAUAGAAGAACAAGCCAAUGACAUAGGCAGUUCCCAGAAGAGGAUUUACAAAGAGAUAACAUUUUUGCUUAUCAAAUUUAACAAAGAAUUUGGCAAGGGUUCUGUGAAACCAGUCACCAAUAUGCUAGUAAGUGUACAAAUUAGCACACCACUUUUGGGAUUUGAUAAUUUCUAUUACAAGCCAUGAAAAUUGUAUGUCUUUAAUCCAGUGAUUCUGAGAAUUCACCUUAAGUAAAUUAUAUGAAAGAAGAAAAAUUGUGUACAAAAAUAUGUCCACCUUGGCAUUUUUUCUUCUUAUUCUUCUUUGCCUCACUGUAUUACCACAUUACUUUUUUUCUAAUAGUAAAAAAUACAUACACACAUGUAAAUGCCAACAAGAGGUUAAGUUCACUACGGUAAAUUUACUCAAUGGAAAAUUUUUCUGUCUGACUGUUAUGUUUAUGCUGACUAUGUUGAGUAAAAACCCCACAAACUAUAGAAUUAGACAUUCAGAAUGAUUUCAACUGUGAUUAAAAUUACAAAAACCCACGCAUAGAGGGGAAAAAAAAAAAACCUAAAAAAAGAUUUCUACAUCCCAACCAGUGGUUGCAUUCUAGCAGUUGGAAGCUGGGAUUCCCGCAACUGCCAGUGGUCCAUGGUACCCUCAUCCGCCCACACCCUCAAGGAUCCAGUGUCCCACUUGCGGCAGCCCUGUGGCUUUGCCUGCACAGCUGAGACCUCGAAACCCAGCUAUGUGGCUCCACACCAGACCUACCUUUCUUCCCUCUGUGGCCUGGACUUUCCAGAGAACACAAGCAACAAGAAGAUCACAACCCUAAGGAGGGUUGCAACUGAGAAG
rnacentral:lncRNA from 1 species